rnacentral:lncRNA from 10 species
UCUCCCUCUGAUGCCGAGCCAAAGCUGGACGGUACUGCUGCCAUCUCGGCUCACUGCAACCUCCCUGCCUGAUUCUCCUGCCUCAGCCUGCCGAGUGCCUGCGAUUGCAGGCGCGCGCCGCCACGCCUGACUGGUUUUCGUUUUUUUUUGGUGGAGACGGGGUUUCGCUGUGUUGGCCGGGCUGGUCUCCAGCUCCUAACCGCGAGUGAUCCGCCAGCCUCGGCCUCCCGAGGUGCCGGGAUUGCAGAUGGAGUCUCGUUCACUCAGUGCUCAAUGGUGCCCAGGCUGGAGUGCAGUGGCGUGAUCUCAGCUCACUACAACCUACACCUCCCAGCCGCCUGCCUUGGCCUCCCAAAGAGCCGAGAUUGCAGCCUCUGCCCGGCCGCCACCCCGUCUGGGAAGUGAGGAGCGUCUCUGCCUGGCCGCCCAUCGUCUGGGAUAUGAGGAGCCCCUCUGCCUGGCUGCCCAGUCUGGAAAGUGAGGAGCGUCUCUGCCCGGCCGCCAUCCCAUCUAGGAAGCGAGGAGCACCUCUUCCCCGCCGCCAUCCCAUCUAGGAAGUGAGGAGCGUCUCUGCCCGGCCGCCCAUCGUCUGAGAUGUGGGGAGCACCUCUGCCCCACCGCCCUGUCUGGGAUGUGAGGAGCGCCUCUGCUGGGCCGCAACCCUGUCUGGGAGGUGAGGAGCGUCUCUGCCCGGCCGCUCCGUCUGAGAAGUGAGGAAACCCUCUGCCUGGCAACCGCCCCGUCUGAGAAGUGAGGAGCCCCUCCGUCCGGCAACCACCCCGUCUGGGAAGUGAGGAGCGUCUCCGCCCGGCAGCCACCCCGUCCGGGAGGGAGGUGGGGGGGUCAGCCCCCCGCCCGGCUGGCCGCCCCGUCCGGGAGGAUGUCUCCGGAGAGGCUGACUAAACUAUAAACAGUAUCAUAAAACAGUCCACGAAGGAAGGCAGACUUCAUCCACUGACUCUUGUCUGCCAUUGACUGAAGUUUGUCUCACAGGACACCAACUCCUCGUCCCCUUAUCUGGGCGGUCUCUGCAGGCAGCCACCAGGAGACCGGAUCCCAAGCAGUGGUGGCAGCCUCCCUUGCCCACCUGCAGCCUGCAACUUCCAGGGCCUGGUGAGGUGAGCAGGAGGGCAAAUGUGGGCUCCGAGAGGUCAUGGGAGCCGAGGAGUGUCCCACAGGAGGGCAGAGAGAGGCAGGCAGCGGGCUGCUAUCCGAUGGUGAACUCCCUGGGCACCCCGGCAACCAGAAGCCAAGUGUGCAGGUGCAGCUCCACGUGCCACUCCGGGCAUCAUGAGGUGCAGAUGCAGCUCAACAGGCCUCCCUCCCAAGAAGACAGAAACGCCAUCUCUGGACAUGUGGGUUGUUAGGGGUCAUGGACAGUCCAGCCGCUCCUGCAGUCCUGCUCGGAUGGGCACUCAGUACAUGUGGUCAAUGAGGGUGGCUUUUCGGGGCUUCAGGGGAGAGUCUGAAGCCCAAGGCUCUGUGCAUCUCCGACGGGUGCGCAAUCACUUCCCGGCACCUUGUUUUCAAUGAGAAAAUAAAGUUCAUCCUGUUGUUUGCUGCAGAGAAAAUAAGAGCAAAUCUUGCAGGUAGAUUUCACUGAGAGGCAGAAAUUACGUGUGGCCUGUCGGGAUGCGCGGGGCUGCACAGGUUCACCGGUGCAGCCUCUGAUCACCCAGGGCCUCUGUGCAGCGAGCAGCAGUCACAGAGACUUGGGGCAGAUGGAGCCCUGCUGCAUGGCAGCCCCCACUGCUUACAGUUCCUUAUGUCAGCUCAGAAGACCAGGACUCAAGCGCAGGGAAUACAAUUUUCUCACAAAUAGGAGUUCUGGACACACAAACAAAACAGAAGGCGAGGGAGACUCAGUCACAUCUGUCAGGGCCAUCGUUCAGCGUGUGCUACAACUGUCCUGGUUACAGGGCUCGGGCAGGUGACUCAAUUCCCAUUUUUGUGAUUGAUGAAAUACCAUAAGGGGUUUCGGAAGAAGUUUCCAAAAGGCAAAAUCUUUUUAUUUGCAUCAUACUUUAUUUGAAGAGCCCUCCAAAGACGUCAUCUUGUACUGUCUCCAGAAGAAAAGAUGUCAGCUGGGGUUUUCCCUGGUGGGAGGACAAAGAAAUGUGGCUUGAGAAAAAACAAAAAAACUUCUGCAAAGUGACUUAGGGCUAGAGCACCCACGGUGAAUGAACGACAUGGGCCAUCAGCCUGCAGUGUCUGAUAGAACUCUCAUUGUUACACUUUGACAGAAAUUGUCCGUAUCCUUAGGCACGUUAUGUAGGCCACGGUACAUCUCCAACUUACCUGGAACUAGCCAUGAGAAUAAAGGGUGCACUCAGAAUCACUGUGCUUCGGUUUCCGCUUUCUCUUUUCUUUUCUCUUUUCUUUUUUUUUGUUGUUGAGACGGAGUCUCGCUCUGUUGCCCAGGCUGGAGUGCAGUGGUGUGAUCUCAGCUCACUGCAACCUCUGCCUCCCAGGUUCAAGUGAUUCUCCUGCCUCAGCCUCCCGAGUAGCUGCGACUACAGGCGUGCACCACCACGCCCAGCUAAUUUUUGUAUUUUUAGUAGAGACGGAGUUUCACCAUGUUGGCCAGGAUGGUCUCGAUCUCUUGACCUCAUCAUCUGCCCACCUCGGCCUCCCAAAGUGCUGGGAUUAAAGGCAUGAGCCAAUUUCUGCUUUCAAAAGCACCAGGACUUUGCUGUCGUGGGACUUGGAAGCUUCCAGGUAUUAGGGCAUUAGAUAUGAUUACGGCCAGUGCUUUUACGGGCAUUCAUAUGGGCCCAUUAUUUAUUUAUUUAUUGAAACAGGGUCUCAUUCUGUCGCCCAGGCUAGAGUGCAGCGGCAUGAUCUCAGCUCACUGCAACAUCCGCCCCCCCCGGGUUCAAGCAAUUCUGCCUCAGCCUCCCCAGUACCUGGGAUUACAGGCAUGUGCCAUGACGCCUGGCUAAUUUUUGUAUUUUUAGAAGGCAUGGGGUUUCACUAUGCUGGUCAGGCUGGUCUUGAAUUCCUGACCUCAGGUGGUCCACCCCUCUUGGCCUCCCAA